rnacentral:misc_RNA from 1 species
GAUGAAGAACGUAGCGAAAUGCGAUAAGUAAUGUGAAUUGCAGAAUUCAGUGAAUCAUCGAAUCUUUGAACGCACAUUGCGCCCGCCAGCAUUCUGGCGGGCAUGCCUGUUCGAGCGUCAUUUCAACCCUCGAGCCCCCCCGGGGGCCUCGGUGUUGGGGGACGGCACACCAGCCGCCCCCGAAAUGCAGUGGCGACCCCGCCGCAGCCUCCCCUGCGUAGUAGCACACACCUCGCACCGGAGCGCGGAGGCGGUCACGCCGUAAAACGCCCAACUUUCUUAGAGUUGACCUCGUAUCAGGUAGGAAUACCCGCUGAACUUAAGCAUAUCAAUAAGCGGAGGA